rnacentral:rRNA from 1 species
CCUACGGGAGGCAGCAGUGGGGAAUCUUGCGCAAUGGGCGAAAGCCUGACGCAGCCAUGCCGCGUGAAUGAUGAAGGUCUUAGGAUUGUAAAAUUCUUUCACCGGGGACGAUAAUGACGGUACCCGGAGAAGAAGCCCCGGCUAACUUCGUGCCAGCAGCCGCGGUAAUACGAAGGGGGGCUAGCGUUGCUCGGAAUUACUGGGCGUAAAGGGAGCGUAGGCGGAUAGUUUAGUCAGAGGUGAAAGCCCAGGGCUCAACCUUGGAAUUGCCUUUGAUACUGGCUAUCUUGAGUAUGGGAGAGGUUAGCGGAACUCCGAGUGUAGAGGUGAAAUUCGUAGAUAUUCGGAAGAACACCAGUGGCGAAGGCGGCUAACUGGCCCAUUACUGACGCUGAGGCUCGAAAGCGUGGGGAGCAAACAGGAUUAGAUACCCUGGUAGUCCACGCCGUAAACGAUGAGUGCUAGUUGUCGGCAUGCAUGCAUGUCGGUGACGCGAGCUACGACAUUAAGUACACUCCGCCGUCGGGGAGGUACGGUCGGCGAAGAAUUAAAACUAACGAAAGGAAGUUAGACGGCGUGAGACGUCGCCGACGGACGACGACGAGGGAGGUUAGG